AGUUCCGUAUUUAUUGCGCAGUUGAUAUAAUCCGGGAAACCGGGGCUAAUACCGAAUAAUCAGUUUGUCCGCAUGGACAAACUCUGAAAGACGGUACGGGCUGUCACUGUAGGAUGGGCCCGCGGCGCAUUAGCUAGUUGGUGGGGUAAUGGCCUACCAAGGCGACGAUGCGUAGCCGACCUGAGAGGGUGAUCGGCCACACUGGGACUGAGACACGGCCCAGACUCCUACGGGAGGCAGCGCUGUAGGGCUCUUCCACAUGGACGAAAGUCUGAUGGAGCAAUGCCGCGAUGCGCGAAUAGGUUUUCGGAUCGUAAAGCGGAAUCUUCGGGGACGAACACGUACGGGAGUAACUGCCCGUGCGAUGACGGUACCUUAUUAGAAAGCCACGGCUAACUACGUGCCAGCAGCCGCGGUAAUACGUAGGUGGCAAGCGUUGUCCGGAAUUAUACGGCGUAAAGCGCGCGCAGGCGGUUCUUUAAGUCUGAUGUGAAAGCCCACGGCUCAACCGUGGAGGGUCAUUGGAAACUGGAGAACUUGGAGUCGUAGUAGAUGAUGCGAAUUCCCUGUGUAGCGGUGAAAUGCGUAGAGAUGUGGAGG
rnacentral:rRNA from 2 species